rnacentral:rRNA from 1 species
UACGGAGGGUGCAAGCGUUAAUCGGAAUUACUGGGCGUAAAGCGUGCGUAGGCGGUUUAUUAAGUCAGAUGUGAAAGCCCCGGGCUUAACCUGGGAACUGCAUUUGAAACUGGUAAACUAGAGUAUGGUAGAGGAAAGUGGAAUUUCUGGUGUAGCGGUGAAAUGCGUAGAUAUUACUUAGAAUACCGAUUGCGAAGGCAGCUUACUGGACAACAACUGACGCUGAGGUACGAAAGCGUGGGUAGCAAACAGG